rnacentral:rRNA from 1 species
GACGAACGCUGGCGGCGUGCCUAAUACAUGCAAGUAGAACGCUGAAGGAGGAGCUUGCUCUUCUGGAUGAGUUGCGAACGGGUGAGUAACGCGUAGGUAACCUGCCUGGUAGCGGGGGAUAACUAUUGGAAACGAUAGCUAAUACCGCAUAAAAUUGAUUAUUGCAUGAUAGUCAAUUAAAAGGUGCAAUUGCAUCACUACCAGAUGGACCUGCGUUGUAUUAGCUAGUUGGUGAGGUAACGGCUCACCAAGGCAACGAUACAUAGCCGACCUGAGAGGGUGAUCGGCCACACUGGGACUGAGACACGGCCCAGACUCCUACAGGAGGCAGCAGUAGGGAAUCUUCGGCAAUGGACGGAAGUCUGACCGAGCAACGCCGCGUGAGUGAAGAAGGUUUUCGGAUCGUAAAGCUCUGUUGUAAGAGAAGAACGAGUGUGAGAGUGGAAAGUUCACACUGUGACGGUAUCUGACCAGAAAGGGACGGCUAACUACGUG